rnacentral:rRNA from 1 species
UACAUAGACCGCAAGCGUUAUUCGGAUUCACUGGGCGUAAAGGGUGCGCAGGCGGCCGUGUGUGUGAGGCGUGAAAGCCCGGGGCUCAACCCCGGAAUUGCACCUCAAACUACAUGGCUAGAGCAUUGGAGAGGGUAGCGGAAUUCACGGUGUAGCAGUGAAAUGCGUAGAUAUCGUGAGGAACACCAGAGGCGAAGGCGGCUACCUGGACAAUUGCUGACGCUCAGGCACGAAAGCGUGGGGAGCAAAAGGG